CACGUAGGGCGCAAGCGUUGUCCGGAAUUAUUGGGCGUAAAGAGCUCGUAGGCGGUCUGUUACGUCUGCUGUGAAAACCCAGGGCUUAACCCUGGGCUUGCAGUGGAUACGGGCAGACUAGAGGCAGGUAGGGGAGAAUGGAAUUCCCGGUGUAGCGGUGAAAUGCGCAGAUAUCGGGAGGAACACCGGUGGCGAAGGCGGCCCCCUGGUUGGAUACUGACGCUGAGACGCGAAAGCGUGGGGAGCAAACAGG
rnacentral:rRNA from 1 species